UCAGAAGGGAACUGAGAGGCAGUAGAGGUCUCUGAGGAUGUUGUAAUGUGCUUCAGUGAACAGACAUGUGCUUCUGGCUUUGAACAGAUUCUGCCACACAUCACAAGCAUUCAGGACUUGGAGGAGACAAGAGAAGGAGCAGAGGACCUGUUUGAACCUGCAGCUCAGAGUGAGGGAGUAGAGUCAGAGCACAUGGAUUUCAAGUCUUGGGUCUGCUAAUGAAGGACAAAUAAUUUAAGAAGAGUCCUGGGGCUAAGCAGUGAUCAAGUUUUCCAGAAGCUACAUAAUAUGUGCUAUCACAACAGAUUGAAUCUUGAAGCAAACACAAGAAUCCAGCUGUCUUCUAUUAGGCCAGACAUUAAAGAGACUUCCAAAAACGUGAAACAAUGUCACCUUCUCACUGAUUGGUUUUGGGAAAUGGAAUUUGUAUAGAAGUGUGUUAUUUAUAUAAACAUGUAAUGCAUUUAUUUUUAUUUCUAAAUGAAUUAAUAUGUGUUUUUUAAAUGUCUCAUUUUUAAUUUGUAACAUGUAAAUGUUGAGAUAUAAUCCACAUAAACAGAAGCUAUUUGGGGUUCUAAUGAAUUUUUAACAGAGUAAAGCAGUCUUGAAAACAAAAAGCUUGAGGAGUGCUAAUGGAUUUCAUUAUUGUCCAAAAUGGGACACUUUGAAAAGGAAAGCGAAUACUAUUAAUAAUUACCUCAGACAACAAAGUGACAGUACCUCCCAGCUUGCCAAGUACGAUCCCACUUUAUGUUUUCCUAGCAUAUAUUAUUAACAGCUUUCAGUGUCACCGUCAAAAUGCCCUGGUUUGGAGGAUCAGCUGUACGGUCACCCUACUUAUAGGACUAGUUAAUGGGGAGCUUGUCCCAUACCCUUCUAGGUUUGCUAUCAGAACUCCAGAAUAUGAGCUUCUGUGGAAAAAUGGAUAUGAGGGGUCUCAGGCCAACACAUAUGCCUGACCAUCAAAAAUAGACUGGUUGAAAGAAGGAAGGGAAAAACUUCACUUUUAUUUUGUUUUCUUGUUUUGUUUUUGUCUCAGAGUAUGGCAUUAGGUGUUUGUACACCUCGAGUAAUAGAAGAGCACUUAUUAAUCUGUGUUUUACAAGAACAAAUUUUUAGAGUAUACUGUAUCAACUCAAGUAGUUACUAGGAUAUCUGAAGAAAAAGUCUUUCCUUUUAAUUAAUUUCAGGCUUUGAGAGAAUGUGGCGAGGAAUGAAUAAUUUCUGUGCUGCAUUUUAUAGAAGGUCACUCUGAAGUACAGAUGCUUCUUAUGAAAACUGGAGACAUUUGUAUACUCAAAUAGAAAUAAGGUUAUUGUCUAAAUAGAAUACUUCAUGUAUUAAAAAAUAAGUAAGUAAAUAAAUACUUCC